rnacentral:rRNA from 1 species
GACGAACGCUGGCGGCGUGCUUAACACAUGCAAGUCGAACGGAAAGGCCCUGCUUUUGUGGGGUGCUCGAAUGGCGAACGGGUGCGUAACACGUGAGUAACCUGCCCUUGACUUUGGGAUAACUUCAGGAAACUGGGGCUAAUACCGGCUAGGAGCUCCUGCUGCCAGGUGGGGGUUGGAAAGUUUCGGCGGUCGGGGCUGGACUCGCGGCUUUUCAGCCUGUUGGUGGGGUAAUGGCUUACCAAGGCUUUGACGGGUCGCCGGCCUGAGCGGGUGACCGGACACAUUGGGACUGAGAUACGGCCCAGACUACUACGGGAGGCAGCAGUGGGGAAUAUUGCACGAUGGGCGGAAGCCUGAGGCAGAAACGCCGCGUGCGGGAUGACGGCCUUCGGGUUGUAAACCGCUUUCGCCGGUGACGAAGCGUGAGUGACGGUAAUGGGUAAAGAAGCACCGGCUAACUACGUG